AACAUACCCCUGAGUAAGAGGAACUAUUUUAUUUCACUGAUCUUCUCCUACUUGACCCAGAUAUAGUCCCUGAUCUGGAGUGAUGACCUGAGAUCCAACCUCCUUUUCCAUUAUCUGCAGAUGUGAAUUCUAUUGGUAUGCCCAAAGAAUUGUAAAGGAGAUU
rnacentral:lncRNA from 1 species